UACGAAGGGGGCUAGCGUUGCUCGGAAUCACUGGGCGUAAAGGGCGCGUAGGCGGCCAUCAAGUCAGAGGUGAAAGCCCAAGGCUCAACCUUGGAAUUGCCUUUGAUACUGUUUGGCUUGAGACCGGAAGAGGUUAGUGGAACUGCGAGUGUAGAGGUGAAAUUCGUAGAUAUUCGCAAGAACACCAGUGGCGAAGGCGGCUAACUGGUCCGGUUCUGACGCUGAGGCGCGAAAGCGUGGGGAGCAAACAGG
rnacentral:rRNA from 1 species